GAGCGGAGGGCGUAGGGCGUAGGGCACCUGCAGCCGCGGCGGUUACCUUCGCUGAGGCGUAGCUGGCGAUGCGGUGAAGGCGGUGACGGUUUUCCCUCAGACUGUGCCUGCAGGGCUGGAAACAUGAGCUCUCCUGACGAGGUGUCUUUUCGGGGGGCCAGUUUGGGGCCAGAAAGUGGGGAACACUCAGAAAGACGCCGGUUUGCCCAAGGGUUCCCAAAGGGACACGGCCUAGGUCCUGAGGAGAAGCUGUUACGGAGCAGAGAGGACAAAAUGUGUCUCCCGGUCUCCAAGACUUUCCAGUGUGACUCCUGGUUAGACACGGAGGAGAUGGAGGGAAGGUCAGUCAUUUGGGGCUGCGAAGGUCGGCCUGGCACUCCAGUGGAUGACAGAGGGGACAGUUUGGACUUUGUACAGCAACUGGCCAUAGAAGGUACAAGCUUCGGGCAGCAUGUAGCCAACCGGGAGGCCUGGGGUGUCCAUAGACAACCGUCCCCACAAACCUGUGCUGCUGAGCCCUUUAGCAUUUGGGGAGAGUCAGACGCAAGCACGAUUAGGAGAAGCAUGCGGCCUCUGACCUCAACGGAAGGGAAGCAGUACGCAGGUAGCCAACUACACCCCAGAGGUCUGGGGCGAGGCAGGGCCUGGAUGACCCCAAGAAGAAGUGCCACUAGUAGGAUAACCAGUGAUGAUACUCAAUAUCCAUCCUCUGACCCUGAGUCUUCUGAUGAGUUCAGUGAGAUACAGAUGAUGAGGGUAACCAUUUGUCUCAAAGAAGGAAGCCAGCCCAAGUCCACUGGCCUCACUGACCUGGAAGAUCCAGCUAGACACACCACUGUCCAUGGCAGGGAAAGUUUUGUCCAUGUGCCUCCCUCUUUGCUGGCCACUACUCCAAGAGGACUCAGUUCAGGGGUAGAAAAGCAGGCUUCCGGAGAUCUGGAAAGCUCUUUGUCUAAGAAAAAGCAAAGUAUGGUUUGGGGCAAAGAAGGGAGCAGGCCCAGUCACCAAGGAGCUACUGCAGCUGCUGCUGCCACUACCAGUGCCUCUGCCACUGUCUCUACGGGUGCCCCUGCCCCUGUUACUACUGUGUCCAGUGGCUUACCCAAGACCAGUCCAAGAAAGAAGCCAGCGCAGGACAAGCCAUCUCAGUGGGAUGCCUCAAGAGGACCCGUGGGGAGAACCUUCCCACCAUGGGGGCAGAGACUCAAGUCAGCUCCUGUAGAACCAGCCACUUUCCCCCCAAUCUCAGGGGUUGCCCUGCUAGGAAAGGCCAGUAAAUGCUCACUGCCUUCAGGGCCCAAAGAGUGCAAGCCCUUCUGCACUGGGAAGAAAUCCAUGGCAAAAAAGACAAGGGAGACACAGGCAGGGCCCAAAGAAGAUAAUAACUCACCAAGAGAUCCUGGCCUACAGGCCCAAGUUCCACCACCCAGGGCAGAGCAGCCUUCCAUGUGCAUGUAUCGUGGAGAAAUGAGCAGUGGAGACUCCAACACCAGAGCGCCUCAAGUUACAGGAAACCUGCAGUUCUUCUCCUUGAGCCAGAGAUAUGCCAGACCCAGAGCACCUGCACCUGCUGGUGACCAGGAGUUACCUCUACGCCUGCCAUUCCCAGUUGGAGACAGGCAGCAUCCAGUACAAGGAAUAGGAGGGGGCUGCCAACAGUGUCAGAUGUUGCAGAAGGAGAUAGAUGAACUCAAGGAACAACUAGGUAUGGCCUACCCUGGGCAGGAAGGACAUUCAGACUGGGGAAGAGGGGAGCUUAGUGUUUGGGUGCAGGUGAUGAUGGUGGGUAGUGGGGCAGGCACUCAUGGGGGAGGUGACACGAAGCAGGCCAGGCUUGGAGCCCUCUGUGCCUUGACUUCUGGGACUUGCACCAAGAGGCUCUCUGCUCUCCGUGUGCUGUGCAGAUGAGUGCCCCAGGUCCCCUUCUCUCUGGACAUUCAAAUGUUCCUCCUUCACUUUCCCUUGGAGUCCUGGCACCUGGGGCUUGUCAGGUGUCUGUUGUCACAUGUUUGUUUGUUUGUUUGUUUGUUUGUUUCACAAGUAGGGCUGGCACUGCUGUGACUCAGCGUUGAGGACUGCCUGUCCAUGCUGUUCUCCUGUAGAAAACGUUUGCACAUAGAGCUCGGUGAUGGGUGGGGGAGUCUGUCCCAAGUCUGUCUGCUUGGAUGGGGGCUGGAGGCCAGUGAGGUGGCUGUCUGGAAGUUCCUGUGGAACAGAGAAUGAGGCUCAGGCUGGUGGGUUCCUGUGUCUGUGUCCGGAAUACCCAUUUGUCCUUCUGUGUUUCAGCGAUCAUGCAGGCCCUCAAUGAAAAGUUCCAGGAUCUUUGAAGUUGGACCCAGAAUCUCUCCCCACAGAAGAGGCCAAACUACUACUACCCAUGGAUCCUGCUUCCUUCCAGUUCUUCUACAGCAGUGGUUUCCACCUUCCUAAUGCUAUGGCCUGUUAAUACAGUUCCUUGUGUCAUGUUAAUCCCAAACCAUAAAGUUAAUUUCGUUGUACUUUG